rnacentral:tRNA from 1 species
GCGCAGGUAGCGAAGUGGUUAAACGCGGCAGACUGUAAAUCUGCUGGCCCAGUGCCUUCGGGGGUUCGAAUCCCUCCCUGCGCA